GCUAUAGAUUAAAGGGACACUAAAGGCAAAUAACAAUUUAUGUCAGAGUGAAAGCUCCAUGCAUGACAACAUCUAAAACGACAAUAUUAUCACCAGCAGUGCCCUAUAUUUACCGAGAAAUUAAGCUAAAUGCACAGUAACACAAA
rnacentral:lncRNA from 1 species